UACAGUCACUCACCCAGUGGAACACCU
rnacentral:misc_RNA from 1 species